rnacentral:rRNA from 1 species
UACGUAGGUGGCAAGCGUUGUCCGGAUUUACUGGGCGUAAAGAGCGCGCAGGCGGUCGUUCAAGUCGCGUGUGAAAGCCCCCGGCUCAACUGGGGAGGGUCACGCGAUACUGAUCGACUCGAAGGCAGGAGAGGGAAGUGGAAUUCCCGGUGUAGUGGUGAAAUGCGUAGAUAUCGGGAGGAACACCAGUGGCGAAGGCGACUUCCUGGCCUGUUCUUGACGCUGAGGCGCGAAAGCUA